UCAAAUGAAUUGACGGGGAGCACCACAACGGGUGGAGCUUGCGGUUUAAUUGGAUUCAACGCCGGAAAUCUUACCGGGACCGACAGCAAUAUGAAGGCCAGGCUGAAGACUUUGCCGGAUUAGCUGAGAGGUGGUGCAUGGCCGUCGUCAGUUCGUACUGUGAAGCAUCCUGUUAAGUCAGGCAACGAGCGAGACCCACGCCCACAGUUGCCAGCGUACUCUCCGGAGUGACGGGUACACUGUGGGGACCGCCGCUGCUAAAGCGGAGGAAGGAAUGGGCAACGGUAGGUCAGUAUGCCCCGAAUAUCCCGGGCUACACGCGAGCUACAAUGGUUGGUACAAUGGGUAUCUACCCCGAAAGGGGACGGGAAUCUCCUAAAACCAAUCUUAGUUCGGAUUGAGGGCUGCAACUCGCCCUCAUGAAGCUGGAAUCCGUAGUAAUCGCGUUUCAACAGAACGCGGUGAAUACGUCCCUGCUCCUU
rnacentral:rRNA from 1 species